AAGGCGCUUUCGGGUGUCGCUGAUGGAUGGACCCGCGGUGCAUUAGCUAGUUGGUGAGGUAACGGCUCACCAAGGCCACGAUGCAUAGCCGACCUGAGAGGGUGAUCGGCCACAUUGGGACUGAGACACGGCCCAAACUCCUACGGGAGGCAGCAGUAGGGAAUCUUCGGCAAUGGACGAAAGUCUGACCGAGCAACGCCGCGUGAGUGAAGAAGGUUUUCGGAUCGUAAAACUCUGUUGUUAGAGAAGAACAAGGAUGAGAGUAACUGUUCAUCCCUUGACGGUAUCUAACCAGAAAGCCACGGCUAACUACGUGCCAGCAGCCGCGGUAAUACGUAGGUGGCAAGCGUUGUCCGGAUUUAUUGGGCGUAAAGCGAGCGCAGGCGGUUUCUUAAGUCUGAUGUGAAAGCCCCCGGCUCAACCGGGGAGGGUCAUUGGAAACUGGGAGACUUGAGUGCAGAAGAGGAGAGUGGAAUUCCAUGUGUAGCGGUGAAAUGCGUAGAUAUAUGGAGGAACACCAGUGGCGAAGGCGGCUCUCUGGUCUGUAACUGACGCUGAGGCUCGAAAGCGUGGGGAGCAAACAGGAUUAGAUACCCUGGUAGUCCACGCCGUAAACGAUGAGUGCUAAGUGUUGGAGGGUUUCCGCCCUUCAGUGCUGCAGCUAACGCAUUAAGCACUCCGCCUGGGGAGUACGACCGCAAGGUUGAAACUCAAAGGAAUUGACGGGGGCCCGCACAAGCGGUGGAGCAUGUGGUUUAAUUCGAAGCAACGCGAAGAACCUUACCAGGUCUUGACAUCCUUUGACCACUCUAGAGAUAGAGCUUCCCCUUCGGGGGCAAAGUGACAGGUGGUGCAUGGUUGUCGUCAGCUCGUGUCGUGAGAUGUUGGGUUAAGUCCCGCAACGAGCGCAACCCUUAUUGUUAGUUGCCAUCAUUCAGUUGGGCACUCUAGCAAGACUGCCGGUGACAAACCGGAGGAAGGUGGGGAUGACGUCAAAUCAUCAUGCCCCUUAUGACCUGGGCUACACACGUGCUACAAUGGGAAGUACAACGAGUUGCGAAGUCGCGAGGCUAAGCUAAUCUCUUAAAGCUUCUCUCAGUUCGGAUUGCAGGCUGCAACUCGCCUGCAUGAAGCCGGAAUCGCUAGUAAUCGCGGAUCAGCACGCCGCGGUGAAUACGUUCCCGGGCCUUGUACACACCGCCCGUCACACCACGAGAGUUUGUAACAUCCCGAAGUCGGUGAGGUAACCUUUGGAGGCCAGCC
rnacentral:rRNA from 1 species